GCAAGUCGAGCGAGAAGACGUAGCAAUACGUUUGUAAAGCGGCGAACGGGUGAGGAAUACAUGGGUAACCUACCCUCGAGUGGGGAAUAACUAGCCGAAAGGUUAGCUAAUACCGCAUACGACUCCUGGUCUGCGGAUCGGGAGGGAAAGCGAUACCGUGGGUAUCGCGCUCUUGGAUGGGCUCAUGUCCUAUCAGCUUGUUGGUGAGGUAACGGCUCACCAAGGCUUCGACGGGUAGCUGGUCUGAGAGGACGAUCAGCCACACUGGCACUGCGACACGGGCCAGACUCCUACGGGAGGCAGCAGUAAGGAAUAUUGCGCAAUGGGCGACAGCCUGACGCAGCGACGCCGCGUGGGGGAUGAAGGUCUUCGGAUUGUAAACCCCUUUCGGCAGGGAAGAUGGAAUGGGUAACCAUUCGGACGGUACCUGCAGAAGCAGCCACGGCUAACUUCGUGCCAGCAGCCGCGGUAAUACGAAGGUGGCAAGCGUUGUUCGGAUUUACUGGGCGUACAGGGAGCGUAGG
rnacentral:rRNA from 1 species